rnacentral:rRNA from 1 species
GAUGAACGCUGGCGGCGUGCCUAAUACAUGCAAGUCGAGCGAACAGACGAGGAGUUUGCUCCUCUGACGUUAGCGGCGGACGGGUGAGUAACACGUGGGUAACCUACCUAUAAGACGGGGAUAACUGCGGGAAACCGUAUCUAAUACCGGAUAAUAUAUUGAACCGCAUGGUUCAAUAGUGAAAGACGGUGUUGGUUUCGCUUAUAGACUGAUCCGCGGUGGAUUAGCUAGUUGGUUAGGUAACGGCUUACCAAGGCAACGACGGGUAGGCGACGCGAGCGGGGGAUGGGCCACAGUGGAACUGAGCCACGGUACAGAGUCCUACGGGAGGCACAGGUAGGGACUCUUCGGCACUGGGCGAAAGCCUGACGAAGCAACGCCGCGUGAGUGAUGAAGGUCUUCGGAUCGUAAAACUCUGUUCUUAGUGAAGAACACAUGUGUAAGUAACUAUGCACGUCUUGACGGUACCUAAACAGAAAGCCACGGCUAACUACGUG